UUUGAGGCUAGUGAGUUCAAGGUCAUCUUGAAUUACAUAGGAAGACUUUGUCUCAAAAACACCAACACGAAUAGUUGUUGACUGAACGACUGAGAGAAGGGAUGUGUACUACCUGGGCAGGAAUAGCAGGCACAGGCCUGCUCCCUCCCCACACACAGCCCCAUUCUGGGCCCCUUGUUCAUAGCCAAACCAUGCUGGGGUCCAAGCCCAGGAGUCACCACCUUGAGGGGUGGAGGACAGGGCUGGCUGCAGACUGCCAUGCCCGGUGGCUCACCAGGGACUUGGGGACCAAGGAGGAAGAUGAGGGGAGAGAGGUCGCAGGGGACUCCACCUGCCUGGCCCACCCAGGGUGAACUGGAAGGAACCACCUCUGGGGUCCGCAGUGCCCAGAACUAAGGAGGGCAGGAGGCUCAGGCUGUGACCUAGACUGACUCCGGGGUGACACCUGGGACCAGACUCCCAGAAGGGCCCAGACAGGUCUAUCUCGGUCGAGCAGCUCCAAAUCUCCAAGCCCUCAAGUUCCCAGAUUCUGAUUAAGCAAGUUCGCAAGGGGAAAAAAAUGCUAUGACUGAAUCGCUUGACACUACUCUCCCUCCGUGUCAGGCGUGAGUGCUCAUUUAGUCCUCACAAUUCCUGGACGAGACAGGUCCUGUUCGCACCCACACGUUGCUGCUGGGAGCUAGGUAACUUGCUCCAGUCACACAUCGCUAAGGACUGGGGCUGGGAUCUGACCCCCACAUACUGCGUGAUUUUAGUGAGGAUUGCAGCACCAAUUCGCCUGCGCUGUGGAGAAGGGAUCCUCCCCCCAGGAGUCGCUGUAACGAUGCAGUCUGUCGUUCUGUGUGUUCCUCCUCUCCAGUGCUGACGGUAAUGGAAUCGAGGCCUGAAAUGGGGCUCACCGUGCUCGGUCAGGAGGCUCAGAAGGUCAGCUUGGCCCGCUGUUCCCAUCUGAGCUCUGCUCUGAGGCACGCCAGCAGGACUGUCGCUUUUCACUGCCACACCACAUCCUUCCCUGCUCCGGACCAGCGAGGAGCUCUUUUCUUCUCCCAACUUUUCAUGACCCGUUUCAUCGUCCCCAGAGGACCCUUUCCUGAUCAACUAUUACACUGAGUGAUACAAAACAGACGAUUUUUCUAAUUCUAUCUUUUCCUCCGCAAGAGGGCAAGAAAUUCCCAUUCUUGUAUGAAGUUCCUACAGAGGCAGGUAAAUUACGCCCAUCAAGGCUUUGUCCCAUCCUUGGCUGGCAGUGUCCCUCAGAUUGGCUCUUCGUCCUGUGGACAAACCCCAGGAGCCUGAACAUUUCCAGGGGAAGCGGAGGAGCGACAAGAACAGUGCCUCAGACUCCCCCGUUUGUCCUCCCCAGCUCUGGAAGCAGGCAUCCCGAGCUGGCAUUCGACCCCGGGCAGCCGCUUGAGCUCUGUGUGGGUAACACUCAUGUCGCACUGCAGGGGACAGCUCCAGCUCGUCGGGCCUUGCUGGGUGACCAUGGGCCAGCUCCCUCUUCCUCUCUGAUUCACCCUUCUCCUGUGGACAGUAGACAGAGUCUCUCUAAGCCAAUGAAUGGUCCAGGCUGGCUGGAACUUGCAACCCUCCUGCCUCAGCCUCCGGAUGACAGGUCUGGAAGUCCCAUCCCUCCUGUCACACGGUUGCUGUCCUCUGGCCACGAGUCCUCAUCCUGAAGCUGUCAUCACUCCGAAAUUUCCGAGGCCUGAGCAGUUGUGUCAGAAGCAGGGAGCAGUAACUAAAUCUUCCCAUUCUUUUCCCCCUCCCGCUCCCCACCUCCUUUUCCUUCU